rnacentral:rRNA from 3 species
GGGACACGUGGUAUCCUGUCUGAAUAUGGGGGGACCAUCCUCCAAGGCUAAAUACUCCUGACUGACCGAUAGUGAACCAGUACCGUGAGGGAAAGGCGAAAAGAACCCCGGCGAGGGGAGUGAAAAAGAACCUGAAACCGUGUACGUACAAGCAGUGGGAGCCUCUUAAUGGGGUGACUGCGUACCUUUUGUAUAAUGGGUCAGCGACUUAUAUUCUGUAGCAAGGUUAACCGAAUAGGGGAGCCGAAGGGAAACCGAGUCUUAACUGGGCGUUAAGUUGCAGGGUAUAGACCCGAAACCCGGUGAUCUAGCCAUGGGCAGGUUGAAGGUUGGGUAACACUAACUGGAGGACCGAACCGACUAAUGUUGAAAAAUUAGCGGAUGACUUGUGGCUGGGGGUGAAAGGCCAAUCAAACCGGGAGAUAGCUGGUUCUCCCCGAAAGCUAUUUAGGUAGCGCCUCGUGAAUUCAUCUCCGGGGGUAGAGCACUGUUUCGGCAAGGGGGUCAUCCCGACUUACCAACCCGAUGCAAACUGCGAAUACCGGAGAAUGUUAUCACGGGAGACACACGGCGGGUGCUAACGUCCGUCGUGAAGAGGGAAACAACCCAGACCGCCAGCUAAGGUCCCAAAGUCAUGGUUAAGUGGGAAACGAUGUGGGAAGGCCCAGACAGCCAGGAUGUUGGCUUAGAAGCAGCCAUCAUUUAAAGAAAGCGUAAUAGCUCACUGGUCGAGUCGGCCUGCGCGGAAGAUGUAACGGGGCUAAACCAUG